rnacentral:lncRNA from 1 species
CCGGACAAAGAAGGAGCAGACAAGGGAGACAGCUGUGUGUGACCCAAAGCUCGGAGGCCAGCCCGACCCAGCUAACCCACGGUGCUGAGAUUGAAUUUAGGGGCCUUGCACGUCUGGUCAAUCACUCCAGGACUGAUCUCCAUCCCUGUCUCUGGUUCUUGUAGUUCGCCGGUCUCACUGAGAAGCACAGGAACUGUCUACCCUGUGCUGUGAGGACAGGAACUCUUAUUGGAGCUCAUCAAAUAGUCUGCAGGGUCCCGAGUGGCCUUUCUGCCUCUGCCCUGUCCUCUCAGUGAUGGCAGCCUUGAAACUGUCUUCUGAGUUAUGGCAGCUACGCCCACAGGACUGGGUGACCCAGUGGGGCCUGGAGGUGGGGGACCACCACUGUCUGUCCUUGGUCUGAGAGGUGACCACAGCGGCUAAGAUGACCACAGGGGAAAUGGAGCAGGAUCCGAUCAUACAGAAGAGAUCUUCCGAGUCCACGGGAGUGAUGGGAGAUUGGAUUGUAUGAUGCUUGGAAAGUUCUUAGCAUACCGCUUGUGUUGGGGAAGUGCUUAUGGUGGACCAUUGUUAUUAUUGUCAGCACUGGUCAUUAUUACAAUAUCCAUCACUUUUGUAAUUAUUGUCGUUGUCAUUGUCAUCAUCAUCAUCUUCACUAGGCAUGGCCAGGUAAGGCAGAGGUGACUAGCUGCCCCUCCCCCC